rnacentral:rRNA from 1 species
CUACGGGGUGCAGCAGACGCGAAUCCUCUACAAUGCACGCAAGUGUGAUAGGGGGAUCCCUCGUGUUGGCGUUAUGCGUCAACUUUUUUAGAGUGUAAGUUGCUCUGAGAAUAAGGGGUGGGCAAGACCGGUGCCAGCCGCCGCGGUAAUCCCGGCGCCCCAAGUGGUAGUCACGUUUAUUGGGCCUAAAACAUCCGUAGCCGGCCAGUUAAGUUUCCAGUUAAAUCUAGCAGCUCAACUGUUAGCUCGCUGGAAAUACUGAUUGGCUUGAGACCGGGAGGAGCUAGAGGAAUGUCAUGGGGAGUGGUAAAAUGCUGUAAUCCAUGAUGGACCAUCUGUGGCGAAGGCGUCUAGCUAGAACGGGUCUGACGGUCAGGGAUGAAAGCUAGGGGAGCAAAGAGGAUUAGAUACCCGUGUAGUC